GUCCCAGUAGAGAAGUAGUACAUCACUAAUAUGUAGAGAUAAUACCAUGAAUUGCAAUAUACCUAGUAUUAUCUUUGAUCCCUGUGAAUUGCAAAGCUUUUAUUGCCUGAAAGCGACAAAUUCAAAGUUCAAAUUGGGUUUUGCUUGGCAAAGUCCAGAUUCCAUGCUUCCUACAAAUUAACAUAUGCAGCUCUAAUCUUACUGUACAGGAAACAAAACUGCACUGGUGCAUAGAGCAACACUGGUCACGUGAUAACUGGACAGCAGGGGACACAUACAUCACAAUGGUGACAGUGUAGGAUAGGCUGCUGUUACAGUAUUUGCCUUGUCUCCUAUCCACUGUGGUUUAUUCCUGUAAGAUACAGCAACUUUAUGAGAAACACCUGUGUGAAAAAAAACUUUCC